GAUGAACGCUAGCGGCAGGCUUAACACAUGCAAGUCGAGGGGCAGCGCGGGAUAGCAAUAUCCUGGCGGCGACCGGCGGAAGGGUGCGUAACGCGUGAGCGACAUGCCCGUUGCCCGGGGACAACCGGUGGAAACGCCGACUAAUCCCCGAUGGGAUAUUGUGCCGCAUGGCACGAUAUUGAAAGUUACGGCGGCGACGGAUUGGCUCGCGUCCGAUUAGCUUGUUGGCGGGGUAACGGCCCACCAAGGCUGCGAUCGGUAGGGGUUCUGAGAGGAAGGCCCACCACAAUGGGACUGAGACACGGCCCAUACUCCUACGGGAGGCAGCAGUGAGGAAUAUUGGUCAAUGGGAGGAAGCCUGAACCAGCCAUGCCGCGUGCGGGAAGGAGGCCCUAUGGGCUGUGAACCGCUUUUGCCUGGGGGCAAUAAGGGCGUCGCGCACGUCCGAUGAGAGUACCAGGCGAAUAAGCAUCGGCUAACUCCGUG
rnacentral:rRNA from 1 species